UAUAACGGGAGAACCGAGAGUCAUGUGGUCUUGUUCGCAAGUAUCGCUGACAGUGGAUUAACCCAAACAAACCCAUAUCGCUUUGCGGAAUACGCGCUGGUGUUUACUUCGCCCGUUGGUUCACUACAAAAAUUCAACGGGUUUACUCGGAAUAUUCUCCCUUUCUUUUCCUCUCUGAAAUAAAAAAUGAAACUGUAUUUGAAUUU
rnacentral:telomerase_RNA from 1 species